UUGUGGAAAACCGGAGGUAUACAGGAGUAAAGCCCCAUAAAGCAGUGCUCCAGCUGCUCCCACCGCUAAUCUGUUCCCGUUAUCGGAGCUCAAAGAAAAGAGGACAGUUGCCAGCUCCGGAGAAUCGGGAGCGGUGCCAGCUGACGACACGCUGUGAUCGGCAGCCGCCUGGUCUGGGUGAGGUCUGCUAUCAUGUGAUGAGCGCUUGAUAGCGAGGGAACGGGAGGAAAGCACCCACUCCAGAGAACACCUACGUCUAGUUACCCAACAAAGCCAUACAAGAAACAAAGCAGAAGUUGAUGCGCUAUUAUUUAUAGCCUUGAAAUACUUGCUUGGAAGUGUCUUUGAUUCAAGAAUACCCAUCAAAUAGUUAUUCUGGGCACGAACGUGGAUUCUACAGAGCAGCCAGGAUUUCAGAACCUGGAGAGAAUUACUGCAGCUGAUGAGCUGGGAAUCAAAAUACCCUUUGGUGUAAGACUUAAAAAAUCACCUCUCCACCCCAUAUGAAGUUAUCAGGAAUUGCUCUAUUAUUUCUGUCAUUAACCAACCAUUCCUCCCCCCACCUUUGCACCAGUUCCUCUCAAGUGCAGCCAGAGAUUAUCAAACCCAGCGAUAGCCUUUCAACAGCUCGGCCAGUUGAAAAAUCUCUCAAGUUCUGCUGCUAUCACCGUUGCGUGAGCUGACGUCAGGCUGUUGUUUACUGGAGAUGGGAUGGUGCCAAUUUCCACUGAGCUGAAGACAGCCGUGUCCAGCCUCUUUUGGCUGUGCACAAGCAAGAGUUCCUUGUGUGUGCUUGCGUGCAUGUUAAGAGUGUGCACGCGUGUGUGUUUGUGGGCACACACAAAUGUGUGUGUGGGGAAAAGCAACUGGCUUUUAUUUUCCACUGAGAUACCAGAAAUAAAAACAACAACAGAAAAAAAAAAUACAGCACUUCAUCUUCUUUGAGAAAUAGAA